rnacentral:rRNA from 1 species
UACGAGGGAUCCUAGCGUUGUUCGGAAUCAUUGGGCGUAAAGGCGCGUAGGCGGCCAUUCAAGUCGGGGGUGAAAGCCUGUGGCUCAACCACAGAAUUGCCUUCGAUACUGUUUGGCUUGAGUAUGGUAGAGGUUGGUGGAACUGCGAGUGUAGAGGUGAAAAUUCGUAGAUAUUCGCAAGAACACCAGUGGCGAAGGCGGCCAACUGGACCAUUACUCGACGCUGAGGCGCGGCAAAGCGAUGGGAGCAACAGGGAUAGAUGACCCCAGUAUCCCAG